GCCAGUGUGGUAUAGUGGUUUGAGUGUUGGACUAUGACUCUGGAGAUCAGGGUUCAGUACCCCUCCUUGGCC